rnacentral:tRNA from 1 species
UUAAUUGAAACCAAAAAAGCGGUCUAUCACUGUUAAUGAUAAAAUUGUGAUCCUCACCAAUUAAA